rnacentral:siRNA from 1 species
UUGAGGGGUGUUACUUGUUUCU